rnacentral:rRNA from 1 species
CAGCANUGGGGAAUAUUGGACAAUGGGCGCAAGCCUGAUCCAGCAAUGCCGCGUGUGUGAUGAAGGCCUUAGGGUUGUAAAGCACUUUCGCCGAUGACGAUGAUGACGGUAGUCGGAUAAGAAGCCCCGGCUAACUCCGUGCCAGCAGCCGCGGUAAUACGGAGGGGGCGAGCGUUGUUCGGAAUUACUGGGCGUAAAGGGCGCGUAGGCGGUGACGUUAGUCGGGCGUGAAAGCCCCGGGCUCAACCUGGGAUGUGCGUUCGAUACUGCGUUGCUUGAGAGCGGAAGAGGGUAGUGGAAUUCCCAGUGUAGAGGUGAAAUUCGUAGAUAUUGGGAAGAACACCAGUGGCGAAGGCGGCUACCUGGUCCGUUUCUGACGCUGAGGCGCGANASSUGGGGAGCAAACAGGAUUAGAUACCCUGGUAGUCCACGCCGUAAACGAUGAGUGCUAGACGUCGGGAAWYUUGUUUCUCGGUGUCGCCGCUAACGCAUUAAGCACUCCGCCUGGGGAGUACGGCCGCAAGUUAAAACUCAAAGGAAUUGA